rnacentral:lncRNA from 1 species
UUUGUAAACAUGGUUGGUGUCAUUGUUUAUACCAGUCAUAACAUAACACUUUCUAAUCGCGGAAAGAGUAAUUUAUAGAAAAUAAGUAACUAUUGGAGUGCCUUUGGAGUUUUUAAUACAGUUUUCAUUUACAAUGUACAUGCUGUCAUAAAAUCUAUUAAUUAUAUGUUGCAAAUGGUUCUGUAACAUAACCUCAACUGUGGCUGUUCCUGGUGCUUAGGUUAUGAUGGUGCUUUGUAUUUUUUAUUCAUAUUAAGGGUACAGUGGUAUUGUUUAGGGUAUAAUCAGUGGAAAUUAGGUUUUCGAACUGGUUAUUUUAAUUUACAGACAUAUACAGGAUAAUUUAAAGAUAUGAAGAUCCCAAAGUUACCACUGGACAUUAAGGUCCCUGCUACGGUUCUGGCACGCCGCCAUGCCGUCUGUUUGGUGUGGAACAACCCGCAGCACUGGCUACUACUGGAGUAUUCUUCACCAAACAUUUGCUCUAUGGGUCAUCCAGUCAAUAAAGGACAUUACAGAUAAGUGUUACGACUGUUACAAGGUUACCGCACAAGGCCACAGUUGCGUGGAAGUGGGAACUACUGACUUCACCAUCGUAACGCUCCAGCACCGACAUUAGGAACAAGAAACAUAAACAAACUAAGGACACAAAAACAAAAUGAAAAGUUGUUUCAACCAAUGUCCUUAGUUUAAAUUAAAGUAUUUAAUCAAGUGACGGCUAUUUUUUUUACUAUUUAAGUUGUGAUACCUUUGAUAUACGCCUCGAAUACCUUUUUACUUACGGCUUUUUGGACAUCGUACACCAGACAGGGCUAGUUCAUUUUUUUUUAUAUUUGGAGAACACUCAAUUCACAACAAUAAUAAUAUAAAUGGAUACAUAACGGAAUAGACACAGUAUAGCACGUGUAACAGUAAAGGUGUAACUAUAUAAAAAACGUUGAAGUAAUGAUUUUUAUGUGUAAACAAAAUAAUUAUGCAGGUAUGAAGAGAGUAAUAUAAAUACCAAGUAAGUAGUAACAAACAGUAUAUAAAUUAAUAGUGAAAUACGACAUUAGAUGGGUAUAAACCACAGCUAAGUAACGUUCCAUGUAAAAUGUGUCAUGUUACGCAAUAUAAUGUGUGUAGCACGUUUUAACGUGUAGAUUUAUUGUUGGUGUAUGACAUAAGGUCCUCGGGUAAACCUGGACCUACAAAACGAAAAAUUGAUCGAAAGGUUUAUGUUACCUACGGAGCUUUCGCUGUCAUGUUGUGACUACUCAUAUGUGUUUGAAUGGAGGCCGUAAGAAACUCAAUGUCUUAACAUUGGUGAUUUCCUUCCAGAGACAUUUGGUUAAUAAUCUAAAAGGUCGUUUAGUAAUGAUGCUAUCUUGAUGCUUGUGGUACGACGAUGUCUUGGGAUCGAUCGAAGAAUUCAUCAACCAUUGACGAGAACGCUUGAUGAAACUUUCAGCAUUUGCAAAAUGAAACGGAAACAACAGUCUUUAUGGUCAGUCGACAGUGUCAGCUGUUCCGCGGGCGUGCGACAGCAGCCAGUACCACGUGACUGGUCACGUGAUGCCCCCUCCCCUCGCUCACCGAUAUGCCACUGAUAUAGCGGUUCGUGUAUUUCUGACACACUAUUGUCAAAAUGCGGACGGAGUCUCGUCUGUUUGUUGUGAUAGAACAAGUUAGUCAAUCCUUUUCUCCAUUCCCUAAUAAGUUUGUUGAAUUCUUAUUAUUUUUCU